rnacentral:tRNA from 1 species
ACUCAAUUGGUAGAGUACAAAGCUCUUAACCUUAUGGACAUGGGUUCAAGCCCCAU